rnacentral:lncRNA from 1 species
GUAACACCAGCCGGCGGGCGGGGCGCGGGGGCGCCAAGACCCCAGAGCGUGGGCGGGCGGCGUCCUAAUUUACGGCACCGGGAGAGCAGAUCCGGGAAGCAGCUCUGCGCGCGCCUCUCGGAGGCGGGUUGAGCUGCAGCUCCCCUCAGACCUGCUGCCAUCACCUCCAUCAUCC